rnacentral:tRNA from 1 species
CGGAGCGUGGCGCAGUCUGGUAGCGCACCUGCUUUGGGAGCAGGGGGCCGCUGGUUCGAAUCCAGUCGCUCCGA